UCUCUCUCUCUUGCUUUCGCGCUCUGCUUCUCAGUCCGUCUGUGCGUCUCUCGCUCUCUCGCUCGAGCUCUUUGACACAGUCUAUCUAUGUUUCUGUCUGUCUAUGUCUCUCUCCAUCUCUUUCUCAAAGAGUUAAAAAUGUUUAGGGUUAAAAAGAGGGAAAAUGACCAAUUUAAAAGAGGCAGAGUGUAAAUUUACCCAUUUUAGAAACAAUUGUUAUAUAGGGUCGGUCCAAAGCGGUUAAUCAUAUCAUCGAAUUAGGUUCUCUCACGAUCCACAAGUUCGUUACAUUCACUCACAUAUAUAUAACACUGGUACUAGUAUAUAUAUAUAUGGUAAUCUCUGUAACUAGCGAUUUGGGAAUUGAGAUCUGUGUUUCUCUCUCAAAUCGUCUUUGACAAAGAUGUAUGGAUUCGAAGCGAUGACAUUCAACAUCCAUGGCGGUUACCUGGAAGCGAUCGUGAGGGUAUACAGAUCUGGUUUGCUCACCGCCGCCGAUUACAACAAUCUCUGCCAGUGCGAAACCCUAGAUGACAUCAAGAUGCACCUCUCCGCUACCGAAUACUGACCCUACCUCCAAAACGAACCUUCCCCGUUGCAUACAACUACAAUUGUGGAGAAAUGCACUCUUAAACUGGUUGACGAGUACAAGCACAUGCUAUGCCAAGCCACAGAGCCAUUGUCAACCUUUCUUGAGUGCAUCACAUAUGGUCACAUGAUUGACAACGUUGUCCUGAUCGUUACUGGAACCUUGCAUGAAAGAGAUGUUCAGGAAUUGUUAGAGAAAUGCCACCCUUUGGGCAUGUUUGACAGUUGCUCAGAAUAUGCGGGAACUAUAUAGACUGGUGCUUGUUGACAGGCCUUUGGCUCCGUACGUCUCUGAGUGUAUCACAUCUGAGGGAUUGUUAAUUUCAAGUUUAAGGAUUUUGAUGCUGCUAUUGAAGACCUAUCUGCAUGUGUAAAGCUUGAUAAGGAUAACAAAUCAGCGUACACAUAUUUGGGUUUGGCAUUAUCUUCAAUUGGUGAAUACAGGAGGGCUGAGGAGGCACAUAUGAAAUCAAUUCAACUUGAUCCAAGUUUCCUUGAGGCAUGGGCUCAUUUAACACAGAUGACUUCGUUGCGUGAACUUGCAGAGAUAUUUUGGUGUAUGGAGAAGAAAUUGUACUUUUGUCGUCUCCAGCUUUUAUGCAGUUAACUAUUCCUGAUACAGAAAACUAUUGGCAGCGAACAGAUAAUUAUUGGCAUGGUAGAUAGAUCACCUUUUGACGCCGUCCCCUAAAUUGAUUUUUUGUCGUGGUACAUAAAUAAAUUUUUGGCUUGGUACAUAUAUCACCUUUUGUCGUGGUAUAAAUUACGAUGGUAAUUUGUACCAUGCCAAAUGGUCAUUUUACAUGGUAUAGUAAAUGUAAUUUUUGUAUAUGGAGGGCUUUGCUUUUUGUAUGAUUGAAUAUGUUGUAUGGAAUUAUUAUUUUAGUUUGGACAAUAGUUCGGUUGUAUGUGCUUGGACAGUUAAAGUAAUUUAUUUUUUGUAUACGAAUGCAGAUUGUGCAAUGAUUGAUAAUU